GCAGAAGCUCAAAUUUUAAAUCUGACGUCCCCGGGCGUCCGAGUGUAAUUGGAGGGACAUAUUCGGGGGUGGCGCCGUCCUAAGUUCCUUGGAACAGGACGUCACAGAGGGUGAGAAUCCCGUGCCUGGACGGCUGCCCAUCUCCUUGUGAAUUGUCUCCGACGAGUCGAGUUGUUUGGGAAUGCAGCUCAAAAUGGGUGGUAAAUUUCAUCUAAAGCUAAAUAUUGGCGAGAGACCGAUAGCGCACAAGUAGAGUGAUCGAAAGAUGAAAAGCACUUUGAAAAGAGAGUUAAAAAGUACGUGAAAUUGUUGAAAGGGAAGCGCUUGCGACCAGACUCGAUCUUUGGCGAUCAGCCAGGCCUUUCAGGCUCGGUGCACUUGCCACUGAUUGGGCCAGCAUCGGUUCCGAGGGCGGGAUAAAAGUUCGGGGAAUGUGGCUUCCUUCGGGAGGUGUUAUAGACCCGUCCACAAUGCCGCCAUUCGGGACCGAGGACCGCGCUUCGGCUAGGAUGCUGGCGUAAUGGUCUUAAGCGACCCGUCUUGAAACACGGACCAAGGAGUCUAACAUCUAUGCGAGUGUUCGGGUGGAAAACCCUUGCGCGUAAUGAAAGUGAACGGAGGUGUGAACCUCGCGAGGGGUGCAACAUCGACCGGUCCUGAUGUCUUCGGAAGGAUCUGAGUAAGAGCAUAGCUGUUGGGACCCGAAAGAUGGUGAACUAUGCCUGAAUAGGGUGAAGCCAGAGGAAACUCUGGUGGAGGCUCGCAGCGGUUCUGACGUGCAAAUCGAUCGUCAAAUUUGGGUAUAGGGGCGAAAGACUAAUCGA
rnacentral:rRNA from 1 species